GACGAACGCUGGCGGCGUGCUUAACACAUGCAAGUCGAACGGAAAGGCCCUGCUUGCAGGGUACUCGAGUGGCGAACGGGUGAGUAACACGUGGGUGAUCUGCCCUGCACUUCGGGAUAAGCCUGGGAAACUGGGUCUAAUACCGGAUAGGAGCCAUUUUUAGUGUGAUGGUUGGAAAGUUUUUUCGGUGUAGGAUGAGCUCGCGGCCUAUCAGCUUGUUGGUGGGGUAAUGGCCUACCAAGGCGGCGACGGGUAGCCGGCCUGAGAGGGUGGACGGCCACAUUGGGACUGGGAUACGGCCCAGACUCCUACGGGAGGCAGCAGUGGGGAAUAUUGCACAAUGGGCGCAAGCCUGAUGCAGCGACGCCGCGUGGGGGAUGACGGCCUUCGGGUUGUAAACUCCUUUCGCUAGGGACGAAGCUUUUUGUGACGGUACCUAGAUAAGAAGCACCGGCUAACUACGUGC
rnacentral:rRNA from 1 species